rnacentral:lncRNA from 1 species
UGCUUAUUUGCCCUCUGUAGUUUUGUUUUUGAGUUAGACUCCUGCUAUGUCGCUCAGGGUAGCCUCAAAGUCUUGGGCUCAGGUGAUCCUCCUGCCUCAGCCUCCUGAGUAGCUGAGACUAUAGGUGUGUAUCAUUGUAGCUAGCUGGCCUCUGUACAUCUUCUGUGGCAUAAUUCGAACGUGUAUUUCAAAUAUUUUUUGCCUAUUUUGUGCUAAAUUGUUUGUUGUAUUAAAUUUUAAGUGUUCUUUAGAUAUAUGAUUUGUAAUUGUUUCUUCCCCAGCCAGUGGCUUAUGUUUUCAUUCUCUUAAAAGUAUCUUUUGAGAAGUAAAUGUUUUAUAUUAUAUGUUCAGUUUGUCAAUUUACUUUUUUUGAUAGGUCAUAUGUUUGGUGUACCAUCUAAGCUGUCUGCAUCCAAUUCACAGCCACACAAUUUCUCCUAUGUACACUUUAAAUAUGUGCAUUUUAUGUCUGUGAUCAGUCAGUAAAGCCAAGGGUCUUCAAGUAGUCCUCUUUCAACAGAGAAAAAUAGAAUUUGUUAGUAUUUAUUAGUAAUUUAAUUCUGUGAAUUUUUUAAAAAAGUAAUGAGUGUUUGGAAAGGAAAGGGCUUUUGAGUGAGACCUGAGAUCAGAGCUUGGUUCUACCACUUCCUUCUGGUACAUUCUCAGAUAAGUCACUUAACCAGUUUCCUAUAUAACCCAGGAGUAGUAACCACAGAUUACAGAUCUAUAAUGAUUAAAAAAGAAGUAUUUGUAAAGACAUUCCUAAAGAGCCUUGCCUUACACAGGAGCUCAGGAAUUGUGUUUUCUCUUCUAUCCUAGGUCACUAGAGUCCCAAAGGUGGCCUGUUAAUACCUAUGAGUGACUCUGACACAGUGUGACCCUAAGGAAGGGUGCAAUGCCAGAUGUCCCCAAACCCGAGGGGCAGGUUCCAUGAGCAGGUCCAUUAUAAAGCCGGCCUGGGGGUUUAGGGUUCAGAGCAAAGUCAUUUUUAUUUUACUGAAAAUUUCAGAGGCAGUUACAUUAGUUAUACAUAUACACACCGACUUAAUAACUGUUAGUCAUGGAGAACAUUCAAGAAUUACAAACAAUGACUUAUCCACAGCACAGUUCACAUCCAUAAGAAGAAAGGUUAAGAGAGAGAUGAUUAAGUGCUUGUUGUUCACUGAAACCUGCUUGUGAGAUCUUUUAAGAAAACUGAUUGUUAGAUGAAGCAAGCUGCUCUGCUCCUGCCCAGCCUGUCAAGCCUGGGUUUUGCUAGUUGGUAGCCCCUGGGCUUUGGCUGGUUUCUGGACCAUAAAGCAGCUCUGGCCAUGAGACCCAGGUGUGCGGUGUGAAAAUGUGCGCAUGCCCUGUGUGGCACCUCUUCCAGUUCCCCUGGACCCCAGGCAGCGGUGCAGGCAGACAUGAGGGUGCUUAUGGUUCCUGGUGCAUGAGAUCCAGUAGGGAUGGGGAAGCUGGACUCCUAGCAGAGGUUCGGACCAGCAACAUCCUGACCAGCCCCCUUUCCAGUAAUACAAAGAGCGCAUAUGUUCUAUCACUGGCCACCUGGCUGGUUCCUGUUUAAGUGACAGGUGAUAACUGUUAUGAGCAGAUGGCCCUCAUGGGUGAGCAGGCAUGGUUUGCACACAGCUCAUGGCUGGCCCUUGUGUGUGGGACAGCGAGCCUUCCUCAAUGCCUGGGGCCUGCCUCCUCCUGUGCCAAGCUGUUUGGAGAACUGAUACUGGCAGGUGUGGCUAACCUGGGGACAUAAUCGCUGUACUGAUGCAGCAGACCCCAGUGUAAGCUGUUAGGGACUGGCACCUCCCCUCCCCACGGCACUGUUCUCUAGUAAUGAAGUAACCAGAGGGCUGAACCUGAUAUGUUGGGAAGUGAAGGAGAACGUGGCUCCUGUGAUGGCCUCUCGCUCCCCGAACAGAGCUAACAACAAAGCCAGAGCAGAGGGACAUGCAGGCAGCGUGUUCUAGAACCUUCCCAGCCACUAUCACCAUUACUGGCCAGUCCUGGUGGCGCCUCAGUAUGUUGUCGCUGAUGGCAGUGACGGUGGGACCCUCAGCCUGAGGAGAAGCUGGGGAACAUCCAGGAGACAGGAACCAACUCACUGCUACAGGAAGCCCCAUGCCUCCCCUUUCUCAUCUGGCAAUGACCCGUCUCUGGCAGGGAGGGGGCCUGGCUGGGCACGGGCUGCAGGCCAAGCAGACAUCAGGGCCCACCAGCACCAUGGCCUCCUGGGCCAGCCAGAUGGGUAUGGGGGAUUCUUUUCCAAACCAGGUCACUAAGCCCAGUUCAGGGGUGUGUUCUUAUGCCCUGGUGAGCUCCGCCCCAGUCCUAGGCUUCUCCCUGUCACUCCUCAUCUACUUUCUUACUGUCUACAAGACGGCUUCUGAGAAUCACAAUGAAAUGCAGAGUGGGGACAGAAAAGACAUGGGGCUCAUACCCACCCAUCAGACUCCACUCUGGUCACGCCCAACUCCCAGGACAAGACAGGGAGGGAGGAGGUCAGGCCUUGGUGGUUGGUGAUCACUACUCUCCUUAUGCCGUGCCUCCCAGGACCAGGAAUCCUUCACUGCUGAGGUCAGAGAAGCAGAUGGGAGGUGGGUGGGAGCAAGGUUUUCUCUGCUGGUUACAGAUCCCUCAGGGUCCAGCACAGACCACCAGGGGCAGCAGCACAGUCGGCUGCUCUCUGGUGCCCCCAACUGUCCUCUGACAUGCAGAGGGCAGAAGUGAACCUUCCAAACUCACAAGCUAAAGGCCACACCAAGUCUAUUUCCCUUUCACCAAGAAAUACUUCUUUGCUCCUAAAGCUAUUUUUAUGCCUUUUUUGGGGGGAAAGAUUAUGCUUGUUGCCCAGAGCAAGCCCAGCGCUAGGCACUGAGAGGGUGCUGGUUGGCACCAGGAGCCCAAGCUGGGGCUGCCCGUGGUUACUCCCAUUUCCCCAGCAGCAAGAGCUCCUCUGAGGACAGAGCAAACACAUGCAUCUACACCCAGGACCCGAUUACCACUGUCUACAUGAGGACUAAAAGCUGCUUCUACAGACUUCAGGGCUGGCCCUCAGCUGGUCUCAGAAUGGGGACCACAGAAGGCCAGGUCCCAGGGGAGGGCAUCCUGCUGAGGAAGGCUGGCUUUUGACAGGUCAAAAGGCCUGGGCACCAGGCAGCGCUCCCAGGGGGCCAGAGCAACGGCCCUACUCCUCCCUGUACUUGGGCUUCCUCCAUUCAUUCAUUUUCCUGACCUCUGGGACCUAUUGGCAAGGACACGGUGCUGUGCAGUGUCUGCAGGGACUCUUGGAGGGACCACAGCUCUCCCAAGGGUGGGCUCCUCUGUCCCACGUGGGCAUCAGAGGGCUGAUGGGUGGCAGUGGGAAAACAAGGUGACUGGUGGGAAAAGAGGCCAACAAGGGAGACGGAGACAGCCCUCACCUGGGAAAGGUGCAGGAGGAUGCAGGGGACUAUAAAAGCCAAACACAGUAAGCCAGGGACCUUGGGCUAAGUGGGCAGCAGGCGGAGGCUUCUGGAAGUCAGCCAGUACUCCUGUUUUGAGUAAACCGAGGACUCAGGGCCCCAGAGACUAUGUGGGAGGAGCCCAGUCCACUGCCUCACAGACCUGCACUCUCUGUGUCCCUCUGGGGGACAGAGCAUCAGGUGCCCUCUCCACACAACAGCUGCUCCUGUCCACUCCAGGACAUGGCCCAGGAGGCCAGGCAUUCUGUCCCUGCUGUCAGUGAGAGAUGUAAAUGAUGCCUGGGGCUCUGAGAGGAGGAAAGGCUGCUUCUCUUGCAUGGAGGAGCUUGGUUCUGAAGCAGAGGCACAGACCAAAUAACUGACCCCUCACAGUGAGUAGGUCCCCAGCCCCGGCUCCUGGUGACACUGUGGAAGGGCCAGCCUGUCGGUCCCCCUCCCUGCCGCCCUGAGCCAGCAUUCUUGGUGAGGGCACUGCUGAGCACUGGGAGGGGCAGGGGGUGCGUAUUCUCGUUCUUACCCUCCUUAUGGUCUGGAUUCUACGACCCACUCUGGCCACACACAACAGACACGAGGCACAACACACAAAACACACACAUGUGUCUCACCACACAAAGCACAAACAUCCACGUCACAAUGGGCCCACAGGCACAGCAGCAGGGCAGUGGGCAUCCCCAAGUCCCCACACUCCUCGGCUCCAGGGUGUGACAAAGGCCCUGACUCUCCCUGCCUCUUAUCCCACCCCAGGCCACCAGCUAGCAGGUGUGAAAAGCAAGCAGAAGCCAUUCCAGAGUCCCAGGCAGGCCCGCUGCUGCUCUGAGUUUCAAGUGAACUCCUCCUGGUGUACAUGCACGCUUACAAGGGACUAUUCAUAGCUGAGUGUGAGGGCCAGAGAGCUCACCUCCUGAGCACACACAGAUAAAAUGCAAUAAAUACAACCAAGCCCCAGACGUCCAGCAGGGCCCUGGUCAGUAGCAACAGAGAAGCCAGAGCUGUGGGUGAGAGCGAGUAGCGCCAUGCCUGGGGGUGCGCAGGGGGUGAGGGCACUGUGGUGGGGUCCUGCAGCAGGGCAAGCUGGUGUCGAUGUCACAGCGCGGUGGUGGCCCUGCACAGGGAGCCUUGCUCUGCCCACAGCUACUCAGAAAAGGGUGGGAACAUGCCUAGGUCGGCAAAGUCCUCGAUGUUAUAGUUGCCAGUCCCCUGGGUUGGGUCUCCUGGCAUAGGCAGCAUGUCCUGCAGAAGAAAAGAAAGCAAGCCAUGGGGGUCAGUGUCU